GGCUAGUGGUGGCACCUUGCACCCUAGCCAACCGAUGGAAACUAAGGCAUGAGGCAGGCAUGUCUUUUCAAGGUGACCCGAUGGUGUCGGUUGGUGUCGACACUAGUCCUGUAACACCCUUUAUUUAUGAGGUGUUUUCAUGUCAUAAAUAAAAAAAUAACAGAGAGAAAACCCAAAGGGGCUUCUGUCUUCUGCGUUAGGGGAGAGAGAGAGAGAGAGAGAGAGAGAGAGAGAGAGAGAGAGAGAGAGAGAGAGAGAGAGAGAGAGAGAGAGAGAGAGAGAGAAUCGGACGGAGAAGAAGAGAGGAAGAGGAGUUAGGAUUUGAAGCCGUUUAUCUUGAAUUAAGGUAACAAGCCGGUCAAAUAGGAGGUGCCGAAACCGUAAGUUUGGUGUAUAACUCGGUCGAUGCAAAGGUAGCAGGUUGCGUAGAGUGGGUCCACUACCGGUCAACGUGUUGAGAAGUGUUUGGGCUAGCGUCAGAUGAUGUGGAUAAGCGAGUUGGUUGUAGGUAGUGAACCAAAAAGUUGAUUUUUAUAAGUAAAAAAUAUGUUGUUGGUGGAUGUGUUGAAGUUUAGAAUUUUUAAAGUAUUGUAAAACUAUAUUGUGAUUUAGUUGUGCGAGGUCAUGGUUGGUUGGUCGAUACGUCGACUCAUUUUUAUGUUAAGGUGAUAAGUCUUCCGCUGGGUGUUAUUCUGACAGGUUGUGAGGUGUGGUUCAGUUUUUGGUGUGGAAUGUCACGUGGUCGCGUCGACUCGGGCCCACAUUGGGUGCCGUUUGCGGGGCGGGGCGUGACAGCUUGGUAUCAGAGCUAGUACGAUCUAGUCUCUGUGUUGAGAGUCGAUUGGGGGUUUGGUAGUGGACCAUAUGGUGUUGUGUCUGUCGAGUAGGGGUUAGUGGGUGACUAACGUGUCCGUAUUUAAUACUUAGCACUAUGUUGUUAUUGGUGGUUUGAAUUGUUGAAACAGGUUAUUGAUAUUGCUCAGUUCAUGGAGCAGCAAAUGGUAAUUAUUCCAUGGCAGAUUGCGCUGGCACUGGCAGUGUCUUAUGUGGGUCGUGUUCUGUGUGUUAGAAUUAAAUGGACUGAAGGGUUCAUGGCAUUAUAGAGAGUAUGUGCUAAUGCGUGUCAAGGAGCCCAGGCUUUGCUGGAUAUGGUGAUAGGUAUUUUCAAUAUUGAAUGACGUUGGGUGUAGGUAACAGUAGAUGUGUGGUUAAAAUUAAUCACUCUGUUAUUAAUACUUUAUGUGCACUUAGAGUAAUUAUAUGCUUUUGUAAGAUGCGAUUUAUGUUGUAAUGAGAAGGUUGUAUUGUUAUGUGGUGUGUCAACCUUGCUAUAGUGUAGGUUAGUGGUGGGGAGACUCUUGAAAAUUGGAGCUUACAGACUAGUGAAGCUAAUUUGAAUUUGAAAUAUUAGCAUUAAAGUUGUAAGUUUUGGUGGUGAAUUUGAGGAGAC